AUGAUGAGGCACAGAGCUCGCUCUUCGCCCAGCUCCCCGCUCACCCCAUCCACCAGCACGAGAGCGAAGAAGAUAUUUGGUUUCUCCGUAUCUCUCAUCCUCAUCAAUCUGGCUUCUAUUAUGGAGCGUGCUGAUGAGAAUCUUCUCCCAGCAGUUUACAAGGAAGUCAGUGUAGCCUUCAACGUUGGUCCCGCCGAUCUGGGAUACCUUAAUUUCCUAAUGAACUUUCUUAAGUCGAUAGCAUCCCCCUUGGCAGGCAUCCUUGCUCUUCACUAUGAUCGGCCAGCGGUGCUUGCAAUAGGAACUGUCUUCUGGGCCUUAUCAACAGGGGCUGUUGGUGUCAGCCAGCAUUUUGGGCAGCUUGCAUUCUGGAGAGCUGUGAACGGCCUUGGACUUGCCAUUGUAAUACCGGCGCUUCAGUCGUUCAUAGCAGAUAGCUACAAAGACGGUACGCGCGGCGCUGGGUUUGGUCUGUUAAGCCUCAUCGGUGCGGUGGGGGGCAUAGGUGGCAGUGUUGUGGCCACACUCAUGGCUGGGAAGGACUACUGGGGGUUGCCUGGGUGGCGUCUUGCGUUUAUUAUAGUUGCACUUCUUAGCUUGAUAAUUGGCAUUCUUGUGUACCUGUAUUCCACUGAUCCGAGAAGAAUCCCUGGCACUCAUCUUCUAGAUGACGACGACUACGAGAGGUUACAUCUGUCCAGCAAAGACGUUCUUCCUCCGCCCUCAAUCUGGAUGGAUUCUUGGGUAGCAACGAGAAGUGUCAUGAAAGUGAAGACAUUUCAGAUCAUUGUGCUGCAGGGGAUAAUCGGCUCGUUGCCCUGGACGGCCAUAGUUUUCUUCACCAUGUGGUUCGAACUCAUCGGUUUUGACAACAGGAGCUCCGCAGCAUUGAACAGCCUAUUCGCCAUCGGGUGCGCCAGUGGAGCUUUCCUCGGCGGCGUGCUAGCGGACCGGCUGUCGCGGCGCUACCCCGAUUCCGCGCGCAUCAUGUGCGCCCAGUUCAGCGCCUUCAUGGGCAUCCCGUUCUCGUGGAUCCUCCUCACGGCCAUCCCUCAGUCCACCGACUACUGGCUCGCCUACGCCGUCACGCUCUUCUUCAUGGGCAUCACCAUCAGCUGGUGCGCCACCUCGGCGAACAACCCCAUGUUCGCCGAGGUGGUCCCUCCCAAGCACCGCACCAUGAUCUACGCCUUCGACCGCGCCUUCGAGGGCUCGUUCGCUUCACUGGCCGCUCCUGCUGUUGGCUUGGUCACCGAGAAGAUAUACGGCUACGACGCCAAGACUGUGAACAUCGCCAACGGAUCGGCGGAAGGAGCGUAUGCGUUGUCAAGGGGACUGCUCACCAUGAUGAUCGUUCCUUUUGGAGUCUGUGUCCUGUUCUACAGCCCUUUGUACCUUGUGUUCAAGCGCGACAGAGACAAUGCCAAGGUCGCCAGCUUCAAGAACCAGGAGCUAACCUGA
rnacentral:rRNA from 1 species